rnacentral:rRNA from 1 species
AUUGAACGCUGGCGGCAGGCCUAACACAUGCAAGUCGAACGGUAACAGGAAGAAGCUUGCUUCUUUGCUGACGAGUGGCGGACGGGUGAGUAAUGUCUGGGAAACUGCCUGAUGGAGGGGGAUAACUACUGGAAACGGUAGCUAAUACCGCAUAACGUCGCAAGACCAAAAAGGGGGACCUUCGUGCCUCUUGCCAUCGGAUGUGCCCAGAUGGGAUUAGCUAGUAGGUGGGGUAACGGCUCACCUAGGCGACGAUCCCUAGCUGGUCUGAGAGGAUGACCAGCCACACUGGAACUGAGCCACGGUCCAGACUCCUACGGGAGGCAGCAGUGGGGAAUAUUGCACAAUGGGCGCAAGCCUGAUGCAGUCAUGCCGCGUGUAUGAAGAAGGCCUUCGGGUUGUAAAGUACUUUCAGCGGGGAGGAAGGGAGUAAAGUUAAUACCUUUGCUCAUUGACGUUACCCGCAGAAGAAGCACCGGCUAACUCCGUG